rnacentral:rRNA from 1 species
UACGUAGGGUGCGAGCGUUGCCCGGAUUUACUGGGCGUAAAGCGUGCGCAGGCGGUUUUGUAAGACUGUCGUGAAGUCCCCGGGCUUAACCUGGGAAUGGCGAUGGUGACUGCAAGGCUAGAGUUUGGCAGAGGGGGGUAGAAUUCCACGUGUAGCAGUGAAAUGCGUAGAUAUGUGGAGGAACACCGAUGGCGAAGGCAGCCCCCUGGGCUGAGAUUGACGCUCAGGCACGAAAGCGUGGGGAGCAAACAGG